rnacentral:rRNA from 1 species
CGGCAGCACGGGGGCAACCCUGGUGGCGAGUGGCGAACGGGUGAGUAAUACAUCGGAACGUGUCCUGUAGUGGGGGAUAGCCCGGCGAAAGCCGGAUUAAUACCGCAUACGCUCUACGGAGGAAAGGGGGGGAUCUUAGGACCUCUCGCUACAGGGGCGGCCGAUGGCAGAUUAGCUAGUUGGUGGGGUAAAGGCCUACCAAGGCGACGAUCUGUAGCUGGUCUGAGAGGACGACCAGCCACACUGGGACUGAGACACGGCCCAGACUCCUACGGGAGGCAGCAGUGGGGAAUUUUGGACAAUGGGCGCAAGCCUGAUCCAGCAAUGCCGCGUGUGUGAAGAAGGCCUUCGGGUUGUAAAGCACUUUUGUCCGGAAAGAAAACUUCUGCCCUAAUACGGCGGGAGGAUGACGGUACCGGAAGAAUAAGCACCGGCUAACUACGUGCCAGCAGCCGCGGUAAUACGUAGGGUGCAAGCGUUAAUCGGAAUUACUGGGCGUAAAGCGUGCGCAGGCGGUUCGCUAAGACAGAUGUGAAAUCCCCGGGCUUAACCUGGGAACUGCAUUUGUGACUGGCGGGCUAGAGUAUGGCAGAGGGGGGUAGAAUUCCACGUGUAGCAGUGAAAUGCGUAGAGAUGUGGAGGA